rnacentral:lncRNA from 1 species
CCAUCGUUUUGGGGACUCUGAUGAGAGUGAAGAAGAAAAUUGUGACUUAGCUUCUCUGAGGUCGCCACGACCUUCCAACUCGGUUGGUGUAUCAGUUGGAGCCUCAAGCCCAAACCAAUUACACUGGCAGAGUAAGGAAUAAUCUCUUAACAUCAAAAUAACAAAAUCAUAAUAUAGAUAUGGUUUACCUUGUUAGUGCUAAAGAUAUACCCCUCUCCUUGUAUCAAUUCCUCCAGCUCCACCAUCUCGCCGAGUGCCAAGCAGCAGAGUCACUACUCCUCAACCUGGAGGAAACUGUCUAGCACCUGACCAUGGUUUCAGACCCCAACACCCUUCACCACCUCAACUCCCUGCACCUGCAUUUAACAUGAGGGGUGUUUCUCAAGGUAGGGACUGAUUUCUGAAAUAUUAGUGAAUUGGAAGGCCCCAAAGUGUAUUAUUAGUCAUUGUUAAGAGAUGACUACCAUUUAAUUAAAAAAAAAUGUUCCCACUCUCUCACACUGCCCAACUCACUAUGGGCCAGGAACGGCAGUCCCUCCGCACCAGCCCUCAACAUGAGGCGAACAAAGGAGCCCUCUUCAAGCCUGGCCUAUAGACCAACAUGGCGAGGGGGAAUAAUGACCGAUACCAUUCCCUGCUCUGGUGAGCACUAACUGACAAAUCCUCAGGGUCAUUCUGUACCACAGAUUUUGGAAAAACAUCCCACAACCAUCACAUAUUUUCUUUAAACUUUGUCAAUAGCUUUUGUCAUUAACUAUUGUCAAUAACUAAGGUCAGUGUUAUGAGUAAUGAGGAUAAAAACUGAAAUGUGAUAUAUUUUAUGCACUACAUUUUAGCUAUAUUUCAUGUGUGUCAACAGCGGCUGAGGUCCACAUCCUUAGCCUGCUGGAGACCAUUAAACAGCAACAAGACCAGCUUGUGGCAAAGGUGAACUACCUCAGCAGCAGGCUGAACAGCAACCCCGGGGCCAGAUGUUGAGAUGCCGGACAAUAUCCAGUUUCCCCUGGAACAAUUGGAGGCAGUGGAGGCAUUUGAAAUGUUUUUAAAGGAACCGUCAAAUGGCCCAGCUCGACAGAGAGUGAUUUCUUCUUUGGCCACCAUUGAAGGUCAGGAUGUGAAGAGGGUGACCUGGAACAUCCUGGCCAGGCUCUUCACGGAUGAGGUAUCUCAUCAGAUAAACUGGAAGGGUGUUAAUAACAAAAAGUCCUUCAGUAGGAUGGCAACGAAGAUCUUGCUUUUCAGUGCUGUGAGGAAAAACACAGUGACACUCAGCCACAGACACAGAGGUCACCAAGCACGCAAUCAGGUGGUUCAACCUGGCAGCGGAUCGGGCAACGAGGAGACGUGUCCCGCCUCUAGCCAGACAAAUGGAGUAAUAGGAGAAAUAAACAAUAUUUUUUUUGAACAUCUUGUCGUUCACCAGUUAUUAAUUUUC